rnacentral:lncRNA from 1 species
GGAACACAAGAAAAGUAAGCGGCCCAUCGGCCCAGUCCGACGCUACAUCGCCUCACUCAGUCGCCAUCAUCGUCGGUCAGUCGCUCUGUCUCUCCCUAGGGUUCGCUACGCCGGCGGUGAAGAGCAGCCGCUGCUCCAUCAGGGCGCGAGCAGCCUAGCCGUGGAGCGGCAGAGCCAGCCGUUGCCCCGUCCAUGGUGUGAGGAUGCCUAGCCGUCGAGAUGGCGGAGCCAGCCGCGGCCACGUACAGGGUGCGACGCCCCCGGUGCCGUCGAGACCGUUGAGCCGCGGACCAAGCAUCGUCGAUGCCGCUGAUUCUUCCCCAAGGAUUUCUCUGCUGCUUGCCUCGCGUUGCAUUGGUUUGCUGCUUGCUUUGCCUUGCUGUACAUGUUCAGUUUCAGUUGUGCAGAAACUGCAAUUUUAGUUGUGCAGACAGCAGAGAAGCAGCAGCAACAAAGAAGCAGCAACAGCAGGAGAACUGCCAGAUUGAGCUUGUAACUGAUGUGAAUUGUACACUUCAGUGAAUAGUGUGACUGAAUGUUGUAUCCAGAUUGUAAUCAUGUAAUUUGAGAGUGUAGUUGAGUGAAUUUGAGUGUGAUUACUGUUACAAAUAUUGAAUGUGAAUCACUGAAGUUCUGUGUACCGUAACCAUUGUACUGUUGUGAUCUAAGAUUGUCAAUUUGAGAGCACAAUACUGGUGCUGUUAAUUAAAGAGGAUAACACAUGUUGACAAUUUGAGAGCAUGUCCUUCCAGGAAUACAAUCACUUGCAAGUCAUAAUGCUUGCUUUGGCUGCCGAAUGUACAAUGAGCGUGCAUACAUAAAUUGGAGUAUUAUCUUAGAACCUAGAACUGAACCGAAUGGCCAAAAGGUAGCUGAACUGAACUGAAUGCCCAAAUCUGCCAAAACCAUGCUUGUUUGUGCUCUCAUUCAAGUAUAGAGCACAUGAUUGCCCCAAAACAGUAGUGCUUCACCACGAUCCAGUAAAUAGAUCAUCUGUGAUUGGUCCCUGUAAAUUAAAUAAAUAAGUUGUUAUUGAAAAAAUACCAUCUCUAUAUGGGCAAGAUUACCUUUUGUGGCGCACCGUGCAAAUUGCCUUUAACAUCACUCCUCCGAAUUCGGUGGGUACGUUAUUUGGAACGUGGCUUGACGGGAUUGAGCCCGACACAGCUAGACAUAUUCGUGUAGGAGUAUGUGCGUUGUUAUGGGCAAUUUGGAACUGCAGAAAUGAUUUGACUUUUAACAGAACAACAACUAUUCAUCUUUUGCAGGUUUUAUUCCGAGCUACGGCGCUGCUCCGUAUGUGGUCCUUACUCACUCCGAUGGAGGCCAGAGAGCGUUUGGUUACUGGAUCUGUCCGGUGGGAGAUGGUAGCGCGGGAUAUCUUCAACCGGUUUGGAUGGCGGCCAUGUAAUAGGAUAGGCGAUUAGUUUACCUAUCUUUGUUUUGCCAGCCGGUUGUGGCUCUAUGGCCUUUUUUUGCGGCGUUGAGGCUCUUUGUGAGUUCGCCUUUAUUUUGUUUUGUUUUCAGACUUUAAGAUCUUGUUGAACCUUUUUACUUAUUUAUUAAUGUGGCCGUAUGCAUCGUUCUGAUGCAGAGGCCGGGGAGUCCCCCCUUUUUGAAAAAAAAAAUACGGGCAAGAUUACCAUCAACAGUUGAGUGAAGCUGAGAUUGUUCUUGUAAUCUUGAGACUCUUUUCCAUUGUCCUUGUAAACUAUAACAUCUGCAACUUGUCCAGC